ACAAUAGGAGUAGAGAGACACAGGAAACUACAGACAAUGGGAAGAGAUACAGGGAACUACAGACAAUGGGAGUAGAGAGAUUCAGGAGACUACAGAUAAUAGAAGUAAAUAAAUACUGGAAACUAGAGACAAUGGGAGUAGAAAGAUACAGGGAGCUACAGACAAUAUAAGUAGAGAGAUACAAGAAACUAGAGACAAUAGAAGUAGAGAGAUACAAGAAACUACAGACAAUAGAAGUAGAAAGAUACUGGAAACUACAGACAAUAGAAGUGGAGAGAUACAGGAAACUACAGACAAUGGGAGUAG